CUAUUCCAGCUUCAAUAGGACAGCCUCAUCAUGGUACUCCAGAUGGAGCCAGACAACUAGAUGCAGAGGAUGUUGAUAAAGUACUUAUAGUGCUAGAUAAAGUAUUCUUUGGUGCAGCAAAAUGGAAUGACUUGGGGCUUCGGUUAGGUCUGUAUCAGCCAAAACUCAAUGUCAUUGCAGACGGUGGUGGCGAUGCAUACAGGCACUUGAGGAAGACUAUAGAAGCAUGGCUAGAUGGUGAAGAUAAAGCAAAAAUUAGAACAUGGCAGACUUUGAUAGAUGCAGUGAGGGGAACAGGGAAUCGUGCAGCUGCUGAAAAAAUACCUCAAAAACUGAAAGAACUUUAUAACAUUACUGUUUAAGAGUGAAGUACAUGUUAAGUUUAAUAGUGUUAAGAAUAAAACCACAGGUAAAUCAACAUAAAA